GGAUUUGGCUCAGUGGUAGAGCGCUUGCCUAGCAAGCGCAAGGUCCUGGGUUCGAUCCCCAGCUCCG
rnacentral:tRNA from 1 species